rnacentral:ncRNA from 2 species
UACUUAUCUAGAAAGGCAGAGGGAGUGGCCCUAUGAAGCCUUGACAACCAAAACUUAUUGUUUAGUGGUGCCAAUUCCAACAGAUUUUUCUGAGAGAUAAGAC